ACAAGGUUUCCGUAGGUGAACCUGCGGAAGGAUCAUUACCGAGUGCGGGCCCCUCGGGGCCCAACCUCCCACCCGUGUUGCCCGAACCUAUGUUGCCUCGGCGGGCCCCGCGCCCGCCGACGGCCCCCCUGAACGCUGUCUGAAGUUGCAGUCUGAGACCUAUAACGAAAUUAGUUAAAACUUUCAACAACGGAUCUCUUGGUUCCGGCAUCGAUGAAGAACGCAGCGAAAUGCGAUAACUAAUGUGAAUUGCAGAAUUCAGUGAAUCAUCGAGUCUUUGAACGCACAUUGCGCCCUCUGGUAUUCCGGAGGGCAUGCCUGUCCGAGCGUCAUUGCUGCCCUCAAGCCCGGCUUGUGUGUUGGGCCCCGUCCCCCCCGCCGGGGGGACGGGCCCGAAAGGCAGCGGCGGCACCGCGUCCGGUCCUCGAGCGUAUGGGGCUUCGUCACCCGCUCUAGUAGGCCCGGCCGGCGCCAGCCGACCCCCAACCUUUAAUUAUCUCAGGUUGACCUCGGAUCAGGUAGGGAUACCCGCUGAACUUAAGCAUAUCAAUAAGCGGAGGAAAAGAAACCAACAGGG
rnacentral:rRNA from 1 species